rnacentral:lncRNA from 1 species
GUUUUUCUUACUUAAUAACAAGUUGAAGUUUAAAAACAAUGAACUCUUGUAUUGAAAAUAGCAAUUACUAAUUUUAUUUCAGUUUUAUAUCUUUUAUAAUUUAGACGAUUGAAUGUUUUAUUUCAUUUGAAAUGCAUGCUUAUAACUAGUAUACAUUAAUAAAGCAAGUUGGCAGUAAAUAAAUCAGUGCUUUUGGGUUUUAGGGAGGUUGAUCUUUUUAUUUUAGGUCAUACUUUCUAAGAAGAAAUUAUUCCAUACUUAGUUUAGAUGUAUUCAUAACAAGAAAAUGGUAUAAAUAAGGGU